AUGCAGGACUGGGCUGGAGUGUUCAUCCCUCUGGUGCUCUUCAUCCUGCUGUCGCCGGGGCUGCUGUUCCAGAUCCCCGGCAAGUGCCGGAUCAUCGAGUUCGGCAACUUCCACACCAGCGCCGUGUCCAUCAUCGUCCACGCCAUCAUCUUCUUCAGCUUCGCCGCCAUCUUCCUCAUCGCCGUCGGGGUGCACAUCGACCUCGGCCCCUAA
rnacentral:rRNA from 1 species